rnacentral:rRNA from 1 species
GAUGAACGCCAGCUACAGGCUUAACACAUGCAAGUCGAGGGGAAACGAUAGAGAAAGCUUGCUUUUUCUAGGCGUCGACCGGCGCACGGGUGAGUAACGCGUAUCCAACCUGCCCAUCACUUGGGGAUAACCUUGCGAAAGUAAGACUAAUACCCAAUGACGUCUCUAGAAGACAUCUGAAAGGGAUUAAAGAUUUAUCGGUGAUGGAUGGGGAUGCGUCUGAUUAGCUUGCUGGCCGGGUAACGGCCCACCAAGGCGACGAUCAGUAGGGGUUCUGAGAGGAAGGUCCCCCACAUUGGAACUGAGACACGGUCCAAACUCCUACGGGAGGCAGCAGUGAGGAAUAUUGGUCAAUGGACGAGAGUCUGAACCAGCCAAGUAGCGUGCAGGAUGACGGCCCUAUGGGUUGUAAACUGCUUUUAUAAGGGAAUAAAGUGGGAGUCGUGACUCUUUUUGCAUGUACCUUAUGAAUAAGGACCGGCUAAUUCCGUGCCAGCCGCCGCGGUAA